rnacentral:misc_RNA from 1 species
CUUUUUCUUGUCUCAAACCCUAAUUCUAUCGGUUCUGUUUUUUGGGCCUCGAAAUACCUAUCUUUCUAUUGUCUCCUUCCCGACUUUAAUCGCGAUCCUUCCAUCCAUCACGCAGUCGUCUGUUUCUCUCCACCGGAAUAAAUUGCUUUCGAGGAAAUGUCUCCAGCAUCAAAAUCCAAGUCCAAGGACAAAAGGGCUGGCAAGGAACCCCAGAAAGCUUCAUCGAAGCCUUCUGGGCCUACUAAUGCAGGUAGUUGUAUACCAGCUAGUGCAUACAAUCCACUUUCUGGAACAUUUCAUGCACUGGAAACAGUACCAACAUCCUCUCCUUCACCUCUGCAUGCUAAUGGUCGUUACCAGAACAUAGAUGAGACAGAUGAUCACUUUGGUGGUUCACUUGGAGCUGGGGUUGAGUAUGAUUCUGUUUCAAAUAAUGGCAG